UGACUAGCCCUUUAUGGACUGAAUGUCUCC
rnacentral:piRNA from 1 species